GACGAACGCUGGCGGCGUGCUUAACACAUGCAAGUCGAACGGAAAGGCCCUGCUUUUGUGGGGUGCUCGAGUGGCGAACGGGUGAGUAACACGUGAGUAACCUGCCCUUGACUUUGGGAUAACUUCAGGAAACUGGGGCUAAUACCGGAUAGGAGCUCCUGCUGCAUGGUGGGGGUUGGAAAGUUUCGGCGGUUGGGGAUGGACUCGCGGCUUAUCAGCUUGUUGGUGGGGUAGUGGCUUACCAAGGCUUUGACGGGUAGCCGGCCUGAGAGGGUGACCGGCGACAUAGGGACUGAGGGAAGGCACAGAUGCGUAAGGGAGGAAGAAGGGGGGAAGAUUGAACAAGGGGCGGAAGCCGGAUGAAGAAACGCCGCGUGCUGGAUGACGGCCUUGGGGUUGUAAAACGCUAGCGCGUGUGAAGAAGGGUGAGUGAAGGGAAUGGGUAAAGAAGCACCGGCUAAAUACGUG
rnacentral:rRNA from 1 species